rnacentral:rRNA from 1 species
CCUACGGGUGGCAGCAGUAGGGAAUCUUCCACAAUGGGCGAAACCCUGAUGGAGCAACGCCGCGUGGGUGAAGAAGGUCUUCGGAUCGUAAAACCCUGUUGUUAGAGAAGAAAGUGCGUGAGGGUAACUGUUCACGUUUCGACGGUAUCUAACCAGAAAGCCCCGGCUAACUACGUGCCAGCAGCCGCGUUAAUACGAAGGGGGCAAGCGUUAUCCGGAUUGAUUGGGUGUAAAGGGAUAUCAGGCGGUCAUUGAGGUUAGAUGUGAAAUCCUUGGGCUUAAUCGAAGUCGUGCAUCGGAAACUGGGAGACUUGAGUGCAGAAGAGGAGAGUGGAACUCCAAGUGUAGCGGUGAAAUGCGUAGAUAUUUGGAGGAACACCAGGGGCGAAGGCGACUCUCUGGUCUGUAACUGACGCUGAGGUUCGAAAGCGUGGGUAGCAAACAGGAUUAGAUACCCGUGUAGUC